UACGGGGGGGGCAAGCGUUGUUCGGAAUUACUGGGCGUAAAGGGCUCGUAGGCGGCCAACUAAGUCGGAUGUGAAAUCCCCAGGCUCAACUUGGGAACUGCAUCCGAUACUGGAUGGCUUGAAUUCGGGAGAGGGAUGCAGAAUUCCAGGUGUAGCGGUGAAAUGCGUAGAUAUCUGGAGGAAUACCGGUGGCGAAGGCGGCAUCCUGGACCGACAUUGACGCUGAGACGCGAAAGCGUGGGAGCGAACGAGG
rnacentral:rRNA from 1 species